AAAAGCUGACAAGUAGCUGUGAAGUCCCAAGAUAAACUGCGGUUGAAAAGUUAAUUGUUUACCAAACUCUCAUGUGUUCGACUUGCCUGUUAUCAUUAAAGACAUUAAGGAAUACUAUAGAAAUUGACCUGUGUUCAGACACGUCACUCCUAUAAACCACCUGUUGAAUUUCUUGUUUGUCAGCCAAAGCACAAUCAUUGUUUGCUCAGAACUGUGUAUAGUAGUGGUAUUUACAGCCGGUUGGGUGACAGCAAAAGUAAAUAACUACGUUUCAUUAGUUUCCUGUUUCCUUCUUGAUCCUUCACAAGGGAAGAUUUCCUUUUUUUAGAGGUAUAGAUUCCCCUUGGUCAAGUCCUGAUUAACACUCCAGCUAAGAGAUUAGUAAACCUUGGUUAGUGAAGUGGCAUCAGGAAGCGCCUACAUUUUCACGGCCUGGUAGCGUUCAGUGAAAAUGUUUGUUAACAGACACAGGCCAUUCAGUCCGGAAUCCCAAGACACUGAAGACUCUGUCUGAAUCGGACUCACGGGUUCCUUCCUAGCCACUCUCAGGAACAGGAAUGCUUCUGGUGAAGAAGUUUUUGGUGGCAGUUCAUGGAGCUUCCCUAUACCAACUUGGAAAUGGCAUUCAUUUUAUUGGCUUUUGUUAUCUUUUCCUUAUUUACCCUGGCUUCCAUCUACACUACUCCGGAUGACAGUAAUGAAGAUAAGGAAAAUGAAAUUCCCAGAAGCAAUGUGCCCAAGGAGAGGAAGAGGCAGGAAGAGCUCGAUGAGCAUGAUCAUGACCCAGGUUCUCCAUCCACAUGCCUGAGACAGGGAGGAAGAACAUGAAAUAAAGGGAAGAGAGAAGAAAAGGAAAAAGUUUGAAGAGAAGAAAAAUUGCUCGGAGGAAGAGCAUAGAAUUGAAGCUGUUGAGCUAUGAUCUCAUAGCCACCAAUAUUUCUCGCUAAGAAGACAGAGAAAGCAAUCCAUGGGAGUUACUUAUCCACAGUAAACAAGAAGCAGGGAUAAUGACGAAAGUUAAAAUCACUUACUGAUUAAACACGAUGAUAAUAACCAUUAAUAAACGCAAUACUUGGGAAAGGUACUUCACAACAUUUCUGGGACUCAGCAUUAUCCAAAAUAUCUAUUCAGAGCUAUACACCAUUCUAGCUGCAAUGGAUUGUACCAAAAAAAAAAAAAAAAAA